GAUGAACGCUGGCGGCGUGCCUAAUACAUGCAAGUCGAGCGAACAGACGAGGAUCUUGCUCUUCUGACGUUAGCAGCGGACGGGUGAGUAACACGUGGAUAACCUACCUAUCAGACUUGGAUAACUUCGGGAAACCGGAGCUACUACCGUAUAAUAUAUUGAACUGCAUUGUUCAAUAGUGAAAGACGGUUUUGCUGUCACUUAUCGACGGAUCCGCGCCGCAUUAGCUAGUUGGUAAGGUAACGGCUUACCAAGGAGACGAUGGGUAAACGACCUGGGAGGGUGAUAGGCCACACGGGAGCUGAGACACGGACAAGACGCCUACGAGAGGCAGCAGUAGGGAAUCUUACGCAAUGGGCGAAAGCCUGACGGAGCAACGCCGAGUGAGUGAUGAAGGUCUUCGGAUCGUAAUGCUCUGUUAUGAGGGAAGAACAAAUGUGUAAGUAACUAUGCACGUCGUGACGGUACCUAAUCAGAAAGCCACGGCUAACUACGUG
rnacentral:rRNA from 1 species